GCAGCUGUGGUGGAACUGGUAGACACGCUAUCUUCAGGCGGUAGUGGAUUUAUCCAUGUGAGUUCGAGUCUCAUCAGCUGUA
rnacentral:tRNA from 1 species